rnacentral:rRNA from 1 species
UGGGGAAUAUUGCACAAUGGGCGAAAGCCUGAUGCAGCAACGCCGCGUGAGUGAUGAAGGUCUUCGGAUUGUAAAGCUCUGUCUUUUGGGACGAUAAUGACGGUACCAAAGGAGGAAGCCACGGCUAACUACGUGCCAGCAGCCGCGGUAAUACGUAGGUGGCGAGCGUUGUCCGGAUUUACUGGGCGUAAAGGGUGCGUAGGCGGAUGUUUAAGUGAGAUGUGAAAUACCCGGGCUUAACUUGGGUGCUGCAUUUCAAACUGGAUAUCUAGAGUGCAGGAGAGGAGAAUGGAAUUCCUAGUGUAGCGGUGAAAUGCGUAGAGAUUAGGAAGAACACCAGUGGCGAAGGCGAUUCUCUGGACUGUAACUGACGCUGAGGCACGAAAAGCGUGGGUAGCAAACAGGAUUAGA